rnacentral:ncRNA from 1 species
AUAAAGGCUAUGAUUGAAAGAAGUACUUUAAAACUAACGUCUGAGCGAGAACUGAUGGUGAGAGGGUUUGCGGAUAGAUAAAGGAAAUGCCUUCAGGAGCUGACAUUCCGAUAUGUAGGAUUGUACGGUAUCGUCCGUUAUGCGUUUGAGUGAUUGUGUACUACAAUUAACAGAGUGGAACCGCGGGCCAUCGUCUCUGUA